CUGAGUUGGAGGGAGAGGAUUAAAACCAGUUUGGAGAAGAUCAAGUGGAAAUCGAAGGCAAUGAGCCAAAACAUGGUUCUGAGGGUGUGACUCGAGCUAUCAGCUUUCCAAGGAGGAAAUGUUCUGAGUGCCAGAGCCAUCUGAAGUGUUGGCAAUCCAUGUGCUGGAGAAUAAGCAAAAUCCCCCAAGAAAGGAGCCAUGAGGUUUGUGGCGAAAGCCAGA
rnacentral:lncRNA from 12 species